AAAAACGCACUGCUGCUAGUUUUUGUCCUAUGCGCGAGCUUUAUUACUAAGGCUCAAUCGUGGCAAUGGGUGAAUGUGAUGUCAGGCACUGGUACUUAAUAUAAUUAUGAUAUAAAAACAGAUGCUUCAGGCAAUCAUUAUGUUGCAGGCGCAUUCAGCAAUACACUCACCUUAGGCACACUUUCACCU
rnacentral:misc_RNA from 1 species